CCUACGGGAGGCAGCAGUAGGGAAUAUUGCGCAAUGGGGGAAACCCUGAAGCAGCAACGCCGCGUGGGGGAUGAAGGUUUUCGGAUUGUAAACUCCUGUUGUUAGAGAAGAUAAUGACGGUAUCUAACGAAUAAGCACCGGCUAACUCCGUGCCAGCAGCCGCGGUAAUACGGAGGGUGCAAGCGUUACUCGGAAUCACUGGGCGUAAAGAGAGCGUAGGCGGGAUAGCAAGUCAGAUGUGAAAUCCUAUGGCUUAACCAUAGAGCUGCAUUUGAAACUGUUAUUCUAGAGUAUGGGAGAGGUAGGUGGAAUUCUUGGUGUAGGGGUAAAAUCCGUAGAGAUCAAGAGGAAUACUCAUUGCGAAGGCGACCUGCUAGAACAUAACUGACGCUGAUGCGCGAAAGCGUGGGGAGCAAACAGGAUUAGAUACCCUUGUAGUC
rnacentral:rRNA from 1 species